GACUGCUUGGCGCAAUGGUAGCGCGCGGUCCUCCUAUUUCUUUCCCUUGCGAAGCGAAAUGCGGAGUGAAAGACUGAGGUUGCGGGUUCGAGUCCCGUGGUGGUCG